CCGCCGGCGACCGGCGCACGGGUGAAUAACACGUAUGCAACCUGGCCGUGACAGAUGGAUAACCGGGAGAAAUCCCGCCUAAUACAACAUAAUGCCGGGAGGGGACAUCCCCUGCCGGUCAAAGGGGGCGACCCCGGUCAUGGAUGGGCAUGCGGCGCAUUAGGUAGUUGGUGGGGCAACGGCCCACCAAGCCGACGAUGCGUAGGGGUUCUGAGAGGAAGGUCCCCCACAUUGGAACUGAGACACGGUCCAAACUCCUACGGGAGGCAGCAG
rnacentral:rRNA from 1 species